AACCAUAAGUUAUAAUGUUAAGCGCCAUCACAUACGAUCGCGUAGCUAUAAGCUUCGACCAAUCACGGUCAUCAUCGGAGAAAUUACGCGAAAACAUAGUUCUUAAGUGUCAAGUGCUGUUACAAUUUCUUUUUUGCAUUAUAUUUAUAUUAUAUUAAAACACAAUGCUCUUGAUAAUUUCAAUCGAAAUGUAUUAUUUCAAUCGAAAUGUAGUAAGAUACAUAACCUCAAAAUCUGUACUGAAUUAGUGUGACGUGCAUUCAUAAAAUUUCAAAUAUCAAAUUUAAAUGUGGGAAGACAUAUGAUUGAUUUUUAAGACGUAAAUCGUAUAAAUUUCAAGCCUUACGAAAAUUUUCAGAGCUUCGUUUUAUAUCGAAAAAUGUAAAAGGGAAUAGUCGACUCUGAUUGGUAAAUUUCUUUAGCAUUCAUACAAUAUUGAAUGAAUAAACUUAUCCAAAGAUAAUAUAAUGAAAAAUUUAUUUACUCUGCAACAAUUGAUAAUUUUAUUCUAAAAAUUUACAAAAUAUUUCGCAAAGUGUUUUUGUUACAAUUCUAUAAAUUUAUAUUUUUGAAGAGUUUCGAUAUUUAAAAAAAAAACGUAAUUAUGGUUAAAGCAUUGAAGCUGGAAUGUCAAUCUAUUUGCCGGUAAUGAUGGAAUAUCUAGAUGCUGAAGUUUUAUACGUACCUCCUAUAUGCCAUAUCUGUAAGUUAAAUCUUAUUUAUCCCGAUUGAUAAAGUAGUUAUGGUAUUACCGACUGAUAAUAUAUUUUAUACAAAUGAGUAAAAAGUGGAAAACAGUUUCAAGAAAAACCGCAGCUUGAAAGACAAAUAAUAAAAUUACUACUUAAGUAAACGAAUGCAGUAAAUCGCAGUGUAUACACGUAGUAGAUGAACAAUUACAGAUGGAAUAGUCAUGCGAGUACUAUUUAAUUUAUCAAAAUGUUUGGUGCGUAAAACAAUACAAAAGAAGUAGCAUACAAAUGAUGCGUCUACAAAGCGAUAUUACUAAAAGCGAUAAUAUACGGAACAGAUAUUAAUUGCAUUUGGAGAAAAGAAAUGGAAUUUUGAUCCUAUAUGUAAUGUGAUGCAGAAAAAUCACAAAAUAAUGAAUUAACGGAUGCACAGGAUAUUGAAUUAAUGGAUGUACAGAAUAAUGAAUUAACAGAUUCACAAAAUAAUAUAUUAAUAUAUUCAUAGAAUAGUGGAUUAAUAGAUUCACAGAAUAAGAUUAAUGUAUAAACGUGUCAAUAACCGUGUGGGUUAUUGGCUGGAUUUUUUAUUCAAAUUAUUGUGAUUAUUUCAUGUAAAAUGAAAUAUGAUUAUGAAGUGUUUCUGAAUAUCAGUUGAUACAUAAUUAUCAUAUGUAAUGCAAUUUUCAUAUCGUGAAUCAAUGGUGGAUCAUACAGCGUUGUGACUCACAAGGGAGAGUACAGGAUAAUCUAGUCCAUUCUGUGGCAUGAUCUAUUCUGUCCUGUGUCAAAAAUUGAUACUAGGACUACUUGUGUACGCUUAUCCUAUUAGUUUCUUUGUAAAUAUUUUCUUGUUCACACUGUGUGCAGUUAUUUUUCAAGUGAACUUAUUAUUUUCUUCUACUUUGUUUUUUAUUUCGUUGUCUCAAAAUAUUUAUAAAUCUUAAAUUUACGAAUAUUUUGUAGUUUUCACUAAAAUUGUCAUAUAAAGAGUAAAAAGUAAUUUUUUUUUUAUUGUAUGACGAGUAUUCAUUAAACACAAUUAACUGUUUAAAGUAUUAUUAAUAAUAUCAAUGAAUUUGAGCAAUAAAGUUAUUGAUCUUUUAAAAAGCUAGUUGACAUAUCUUUAUAAUUUAAUUCAAUUUAAUAUAUAGCUGCAUAUAUUCUGUUUGACAUGAGUAUAUUCAUUAUCUCUUAAUUCUUACUACAUAACGUAGGUAUAUAUUUUUAAAAGAUAUCUGUAUACAGACAUAUACACACAGUUAACAGUUUCAACUUUAAAAAAGAAAGACGUCGAUUAUAUAAAGCGCAAGAAAUCGGAUCAUCUCGCUUCGAGUUGGUGAUUUAUUGAGUAUCGAUUCAGGACUAUCUACUUUGUUCUCUCUUGAGUGUUUGCAUAAUACGAUUGAUGCGCUUUAGAGAUACAUGUACGGUCUGUAACUGUCUAAAUUUAAAUUAAACAUUGGUAAAAUACGAUGAUCAUUGCAAAAUAAUAGAAUAAAUAUUAUACUGUUAUAAUUAGUAACGUAAGAUCUUUUAUUAAUUAAAAAUAAGUAAAAUUAUAUUAAUUUUUAU